UUAAGUUCAGCGGGUAUCCCUACCUGAUCCGAGGUCAACCUUAAGAUGUGGGUUUCUAGAGGCAGGAGUCUCAGUUUCUCUGAAGCGGGAAGUAUUACUAACGCUUGAGGCCCUGAGCCACCGCCGAACAGUUUGAGGCGCGACCUCCCGGUUAGGGGGGGUUGACACCCAAUGCCAAGCAGAGCUUGAUGGUUGAUAAU
rnacentral:misc_RNA from 1 species